CGAAGUCCCCAUGGCGGCGCCGCCCUCCGCCGCCUCGGCCUGCUCCGGCGAGCGGUGGCCUCCACUAGAGUCCAGCCCGGACGUAUUCAACCAGUUCAUGUGGUCGCUGGGUGUGCCGCAGGGCGAGGCGGAGGUCCACGACGUAUACGGUCUGGAUUAUGACGCGCUGGCGACGGUUCCCCAGCCCGUGCUCGCCGUCAUCUUCUGCUUCCCCGAUCCGCCUGAGAGUUCAAGUCAUCCUUCAGAGGAAGUCUUAGCCACUCAACAUAAGCAGGAAACUUCGGAUGAUGUGUAUUUCAUACAACAGAUCGAAUCAUUAGGAAAUGCUUGUGGAACUAUCGCUCUGCUUCAUGCUGUUGGAAAUGCAUGUUCAGAAAGUUUGUUGGAUAAUUCAUGCUUGGACUUGUUCUUCCAAUCAACAGCCAGCAUGGACCCAUAUGAGCGUGCGAGAGUUUUGGAGAAGGACGAUGACAUUGCAAGAGCCCACUCAUUGGCUGCCAGUGCUGGUGACACAGAGCUCCCUGACGAUGUAGAAGAGCAUUAUAUCUGUUUCGUGGCUCUUAAUGGAACACUUUAUGAGCUUGACGGCAUGAAGGGUGGACAAAAAAAACAUGGUUCCACAUCUCCAGAAAGUUUACUGCAGGAUGCUGUGCAUAUCAUUAAGGACAUAAUGCACAAGAUUCCCAGUUCGAUGAACUUCAAUGUCAUGGUGCUAUCAAGAACACUGAAGUAAAGCUGUACUGAAUACGGUAGAUGGAACGUAGAUCAUCAGUUUCAGCAAACAACACCAGCUUCCCACUCUUCCACAGGAGCUUCUGCCGGGCACUUCUAUGGAAUAAUUUCCAUGUCCUUUAGAGAGUUCUCUUAACGAAAGCUACCCGAGUUUUUGCUGAGGCUUUAGCUACUAGAUGUCCAGAUCACUAACCAGUGGGUCUUUCGGCAACUACUUGAGAAGCCCACGGUGACGUGGACAAGUGGAGCGAAUCAAGUUGCACCUGGAAGCGGUGAAUGUGUGUAAAACUACCUCCUAUGAUAAUGCUAUUUUGUGUUCAACUUCAGCAUGGGCAGAUCGAUCAUAAGAGGAAUGAUUCUCAGCUUAAUCAUGGAAACUGAUCAGUACUAUAGCCAGUGGCAGUCUCAGAGCUCUUCUAACGAAAGCUACCGGAGCUUCUCCUGAAUUUUCAGCUAGUAGACCCAUAAGUGGUGGCCUUUUGGCAACAAACUGGCAAGCUCACACUGGUGUCCACAAGU